rnacentral:rRNA from 1 species
CAGUCGCCGCGGUAAUACGAAGGUCCCGAGCGUUGUUCGGAAUCACUGGGCGUAAAGGGAGCGUAGGCGGCGUGGUAAGUCAGAUGUGAAAUCCCGGGGCUCAACCCCGGAACUGCAUCCGAUACUGCCAUGCUAUAGGAUUGGAGAGGUAGCUGGAAUUCUUGGUGUAGCAGUGAAAUGCGUGGAGAUCAAGAGGAACACUCGUGGCGAAAGCGAGCUACUGGACAAUAACUGACGCUGAGGCUCGAAGGCCAGGGUAGCGAAAGGGAUUAGAUACCCCAGUAGUCCCUGUCUCUUAUAC